GGGCGCUCUGGCUGGUGCCUAUGAAGGACCUGUCAGGCUGCGGUUUCCAGGGUGACGACCAAGCAACCCACGCAACGCCCACAAGUUUGCAGGCAUUAGUAGGAACUGGCGUUUUGGUUGUGAAGGUACUCAACGUGUAGCUGUCUCUCGCCAGAUUUGGAAUUUGUGAGAACAACUUCUGAACCUGGACUCAGCUGGAGCAGGACUCCAGCAGGACUCAUCUUCUGAACCCAGAUGCAAAGAGUGAAUAUCUCCCAAGGACGUACAUGACCACAACUGAGAGGUUUUUCCUUUGUUUUUCUUCAUUAAUCACCCACCAGCUCAGCCUUCAGAUGGUCAGUAAAUCAGCAUUACCUCUGAUCCAAUGGGGAAUUUUCCAAAGCAGAAUUGAACUGCAGCAACUCUCACCUCUGGAGCCAGUCUCAGCUGAGCCAUAGCCCUUCCUACAGCACAGUGGCACUUGUCACAACCUGAGUCAGGGUCCUUCUCCAAAUUGUUGAUAUUUGUACAUAGCAGACAAUUUAGCAGACUAUGAAAUCAACCCAGCAGUGGUAGGUUGACAUAUAUUAAGAGCUUCACUAGUAUAUAUUCUAUCCAUCCCUGAAAUUAGAUCACAGGUUAUAAGUAACAGAGCCAGAAUUUCCUUCAGUCACUAGCUUUGAAUACAUAAGAUCAAAAUCAUAUUCCACAAAGAUAUUUCUUCCAUGAAUUCAUAUUGCUAAAGAUGUGAACUUAGAAAAAUUUAGAAAUCUCCACUUCAACCAAUCAAUUCAAGAACAUUUGUAGGGUAUUGUUCUGGGUACUACAACAUUUAUAGGGUAUUGUGCUGGGUACUAAGAGACAAACAAUGCACAAUACAAGUCCCUGCUCUCAAAUAGCUUAAAGUGAAUGUAUACACACAAAUGACUACAAUACAUAGCUAAGUGUGCAUGGGAUAGUGUAGAAACACUGGGGAAGUCUGCCUAUAAAAAGUGGCAUCUGAGCUAAUCUUGAUGAAUAAGUUAGCUAUCAAAGGAAGAAAGGGACUAGCUUAUACAAACGUAUAGAAGCUGAGGCUCCUAGGGAAAGUCAACAACACAACAUAUAUUCUGGAAUAGUGUAGGAUGAUACAGUGAAACAAAGCUGGAAACUGAGGCUGUAAAGAACCAGCCUUUCAAGGUUUAUUGACCACCUACUGUUCCCAACAUUGCUAGGUAAUCUGAUGGAAUGGUUCUCAAAUUUUUGUAUUUGUAUCAUCUAACAAUCACUACUCUCUCAAAAGAUUUAAAUUUUCUUCUUAAUAGUAAUCAAAUUCUAACUUUUAUGAAGACAUUAAUGAGUUCACAGGUAGUGUAUUUGUCAUUUAUGAUUAGUUUAAAGGGCAUUAAAUAUGCAACAUAAUGUG
rnacentral:lncRNA from 1 species